rnacentral:misc_RNA from 1 species
GACGGAGGGCGCGAGCGUUGUUCGGAAUUACUGGGCGUAAAGCGCACGCAGGCGGUCCGUUAAGUCCUCUGUGAAAUCCCGGGGCUCAACUCCGGAACCGCAGGGGAAACUAGCGGACUAGAGACCGGUAGAGGCUAGCGGAAUUCCCGGUGUAGCGGUGGAAUGCGUAGAGAUCGGGAAGAACACCAGUGGCGAAGGCGGCUGGCCGGGCCGGUUCUGACGCUCAGGUGCGAAAGCGUGGGGAGCAAACAGG